rnacentral:rRNA from 1 species
GGGGAACGCGAAGAACCUUACCGGGCCUUGUACACGCCGGGGUCUUGUACACACCGAGAACGCCCUAGAAAUAGGGAACUCUUUGGACACUCGGUUACAGGUGGUGCAUGGUUGUCGUCAGCUCGUGUCGUGAGAUGUUGGGUUAAGUCCCGCAACGAGCGCAACCCUCGUCGCAUGUUGCCAGCACGUUAUGGUGGGGACUCAUGUGAGACUGCCGGGGUCAACUCGGAGGAAGGUGGGGAUGACGUCAAAUCAUCAUGCCCCUUAUGUCUUGGGCUUCACGCAUGCUACAAUGGCCGGUACAAAGGGCUGCGAUGUCGUAAGGCGGAGCGAAUCCCAAAAAGCCGGUCUCAGUUCGGAUUGAGGUCUGCAACUCGACCUCAUGAAGUCGGAAUCGCUAGUAAUCGCGGAUCAGAAAUCCGUGCGCUCUACCUCGGCUAGGUAUGGUUCUUCGCGUUCCC